CCAAUAACUGCAUUUUGUGAAUAAACUUCUUAAUCCUAGCUAUAAAAACCAAGAGAAUUAACAUGACAGUAACCCAAGUGAAAAACAGAAAGCCAUAAACAGUGUAUGAAUAGAAGUAUACCUUGAAAAACUCUAGAAAUUUUCGUGGCCUGCUUAGGGAUUCAAGAAGUAAGCUGAUAUGCUUGAACUUGCUCUUUUUCCAUGGACUCCAAACCCGGGAAUUGUCCAAUAUCAUGUCCUUGGAGCGACUGAAAGUCUUUGUGUAAACCGACAGCAAAUUCCUCAGGACGAACUCCAUCACUUCCUAAAUAGUCUGCAAUCUACAUAGACCAAUUACGUUAUUUAUAUAAGAAUAAUCAAGCAUCAAGCUAAUGUUGUUGAAACUUGUCUGAUUUUUCAAUCUGAUUGAAGCCAAUCUACAAAUUAUAUUUAGAUGUCCAUAUAGGGAUAGAAUGGUUGUCCUAG
rnacentral:lncRNA from 1 species